rnacentral:siRNA from 1 species
UCUCCUUUGUGGUUAUGUA